rnacentral:tRNA from 1 species
UGGGAUGUAGCCAAGGGGUAAGGCACAGGACUUUGACUCCUGCAUUCCGCUGGUCCGAAUCCAGCCAUCCCAACCA